GCUGGGUAUGGUGGCGCGUGCCUGUAAUCCCAGCUACUCAGGAGGCUGAGGCAGGAGAAUCGCUUGAACCAGGGAGGCGGAGGUUGCAGUGAGCUGAGAUCGCGCCACUGCACUCCAACCUGGUGACAGAGUGAGACUCUGUCUCAA
ensembl:misc_RNA Metazoa_SRP Metazoan signal recognition particle RNA